ACGAACGCUGGCGGCGUGCUUAACACCUGCAAGUCGAACGGAAAGGCCCCUUUGGGGGUACUCGAGUGGCGACCGGGUGAGUAACACGUGAGUAACCUGCCCUUGACUUCGGGAUAACUUCAGGAAACUGGGGCUAAUACCGGAUAGGAAUCCUUGCUGCAUGGUGGGGGUUGGAAAGCUUCGGCGGUUUUGGAUGGACUCGCGGCUUAUCAGCUUGUUGGUGGGGUAGUGGCUUACCAAGGCUUUGACGGGUAGCCGGCCUGAGAGGGCGACCGGCCACAUUGGGACUGAGAUACGGCCCAGACUCCUACGGGAGGCAGCAGUGGGGAAUAUUGCACAAUGGGCGGAAGCCUGAUGCAGCAACGCCGCGUGCGGGAUGACGGCCUUCGGGUUGUAAACCGCUUUCAGCAGGGGCGAAGCUUGUGGUGACGGUACCUGCAGAAGAAGCACCGGCUAACUACGU
rnacentral:rRNA from 1 species